GAUGAACGCUAGCUACAGGCUUAACACAUGCAAGUCGAGGGGCAGCAUGAUUGAAGCUUGCUUCAAUCGAUGGCGACCGGCGCACGGGUGAGUAACACGUAUCCAACCUGCCGAUAACUCGGGGAUAGCCUUUCGAAAGAAAGAUUAAUACCCGAUAGUAUAGUAUUUCCGCAUGGUUUCACUAUUAAAGAACUUCGGUUAUCGAUGGGGAUGCGUUCCAUUAGAUAGUUGGCGGGGUAACGGCCCACCAAGUCAACGAUGGAUAGGGGUUCUGAGAGGAAGGUCCCCCACAUUGGAACUAGGACACGGUCCAAACUCGUACGGGAGGCAGCAGUGAGGAAUAUUGGUCAAUGGACGAGAGUCUGAACCAGCCAAGUAGCGUGAAGGAGGACUGCCCUAUGGGUUGUAAACUUCUUUUAUACGGGAAUAAAGUGGAGUAUGCAUACUCCUUUGUAUGUACCGUAUGAAUAAGGAUCGGCUAACUCCGUG
rnacentral:rRNA from 1 species